UGAAUGGCUUUUCUAAAAGCCAAUUAAAUUUUUAAACAAUUUUUUG
rfam:Anolis carolinensis unplaced genomic scaffold chrTn0119, whole genome shotgun sequence.